rnacentral:ncRNA from 1 species
UUCUUUCGAGUCUGUAGUUGCGGGACGUCUAUCCCUAGUCCAUGGCAGAUGCGGUCGAAAGGAUCCACGUAAGUCGAACCGACCUGGUCGGGGAGGCGAUCAUGGCGCAUCCUAGAGGUAAGUCGCACCGCCCGUUUACUUACGACGCGGCAUACGGCCGCGACGGGCGAGAGGGUAACCGGUGGGAGCUGGGCCCCGGUGCGCGAGUGUGGGGGCAAAGACUAGGUCAGUCGAAAGGG